GUCAGACAGGAAGGAGGAGGCCCCCAAAGGGAGGGAGCCAGCCUCCACAGAUGACUUGGAGCUUGCUUGCCCCUGCAUGGCCUGACUGUCAGGACUGGAGCCUUCUGCGGGCUCCAGGGAACCCGAGACCAUCAGCCCCAACACAGGCAGCCUGGUGCUACCAGGGCUGUCUCCCAGUUCUGCACCAGUGGAGACCAUCAGCCCCAGCACCAGCAUCCAGGUGCAAUCCCCUGGAUCUUCAGCACCAGAGACCAGCAACCACCAUACCAACCAACAGGCAACAUCGGAGCAGUCUCUGGAAUCUCCCUCACAGGAGAUGAGCAGCUCCAGCCCUGACAGUCAGAAGUCGCCAUGACAGGAGCCGUGUUAGAGCACCCAGUGCUGGGAGCUCCACUCACUGGUGGGACAGUGAGACAGGGACCCACCGCUGACACGUCCCACGUCAGACAGGGAGGAGGAGGCCCCCAAAGGGAGGGAGCCAGCAUGCCUGCUGUGUCAGCCAUCAGAGGCUGACCCGGGUAUCUGCAGAGAAAACCUUCAGAUAAAUGAGUUCUGUGCCCACGAGUUCUGCCUGUUUUUUGCCAGCCACCUUCCUCACCACCCGGUAGAUCGAGUAGGACUCAGGGUUUCCUCCCAAGGAAUAUCCCAGAUGUACUCUCCCAGGUGGCACAGCAGAGCUGCUGCAUCUGUGGCCAGAGCGGGGCCACCAUCACCUGCUGCGAAACAGACUGUGACCUGAGCUUCCACCUGCCCUGUGCCAAGUAGGGAGGCCGUGUCACCCAGUUCAUGGCACCGUACAGGGACAGGCUCUGCAUGCUGGUCUUUUAUCCCUCCAGUGCCCCCUCUGCAGAAAUGAUGACACAUUUCUCAGGGAUAUGUUCACCAUGGGGAUCCGAAAGCCCUUGAGACCACCAUCAUGGGAGAGCAUUAAUGCAUUCACCGAGUUCGGAGAGAGACACGGGCACUGCGAUGCCAGUGAGUGCCUUUGUCCAGGAGGCAGGCAGGAGGCAGAGGAG